rnacentral:rRNA from 1 species
GACGAACGCUGGCGGCGUGCCUAAUACAUGCAAGUCGAACGCAGUGGGGACGGGUGAGGAACACGUGGGAAACCGCCGAUCAGAGGGGAUACCACUUGGCAACAGGUGCUAAACUGAGACUGAUGGAUGGAGCCGCGGUGAAUUAGCUAGAUGGUGAGGUAACGGCUACCCAGGUCACCGAUGCAUCGGCUGCCUGAGAGGGUGAUCGGCCACACGGGGACUGAGACACGGCCCAGACUCCUACGUGAGGCAGCAGGAGGGAAUCUUCGGCAAUGGACGAAAGUCUGACCGAGCAACGCCGCGUGAGUGAAGAAGGUUUUCGGAUCGUAAAACUCUGUUGUUAGAGAAGCGGUAUCUAACCAGAAAGCCACGGCUAACUACGUGCCAGCAGCCGCGGUAAUAC